ensembl:snoRNA
CUGCAUCCACUGAUAGAUAGACUUUGAACAACUUGCUGUUGUUCUUUUGGUUUGUACUGGGAUGUGAAAGAAAAAUCCCUGCCCUUUCUGUCUUUGUGGCAGCCCAGAUUGAACUGGGGAAUAUAUUU